GAUGAACGCUGGCGGCGUGCCUAAUACAUGCAAGUCGAGCGAACAGACGAGGAGCUUGCUCCUCUGACGUUAGCGGCGGACGGGUGAGUAACACGUGGAUAACCUACCUAUAAGACUGGGAUAACUUCGGGAAACCGGAGCUAAUACCGGAUAAUAUAUUGAACCGCAUGGUUCAAUAGUGAAAGACGGUUUUGCUGUCACUUAUAGAUGGAUCCGCGCCGCAUUAGCUAGUUGGUAAGGUAACGGCUUACCAAGGCAACGAUGCGUAGCCGACCUGAGAGGGGGGUCGGCAACAAUGGAACUGAGCCGAGGUCCAGGCGCCUACGGGAGGGAGCAGUAGGGAAUUGGCCGUAAUGGGCGAAAGCCUGAAAGAGCAACUGCGCGGGAGUGAUGAAGGUCUUCGGAUCGUAAAACUCUGUUAGUAGGGAAGAACAAAUGUGGAAGUAAAUAUGCACGUCUUGACGGUACCUAAUCAGAAAGCCACGGCUAACUACGUG
rnacentral:rRNA from 1 species